GUCCACGCCGUAAACGAUGAGAACUAGGUGUUGCGGGUAUUGACCCCUGCAGUGCCGUAGCUAACGCAUUAAGUUCUCCGCCUGGGAAGUACGGUCGCAAGACUAAAACUCAAAGGAAUUGACGGGGCCCGCACAAGCGGUGGAGCAUGUGGUUUAAUUCGACGCAACGCGCAGAACCUUACCUGGGCUUGACAUCUACGGAACUUCUGUGAAAGCAGAGGGUGCCUUUCGGGGAACCGUAAGACAGGUGCUGCAUGGCUGUCGU
rnacentral:rRNA from 1 species